rnacentral:lncRNA from 1 species
AAAAUAAGUGACAUCGUGUUAUUUUAAUAACAUCUCAGAAUAAUCUCUGAGACGUUUAAAAGAUCAGAACGAUUUCUCGAGAUGUCUUCGACAUUUGUACUGUUUCGAAUAUUUUAUUCAUUUAAAAUUGUAAAAUCUUAAUAUGACAAAUGUGAAGAAUUUCUUGAGAGAAUUAGUUAAAAUUGCUUAUUUAAUCAAGUUCCUAUUCGCGUAGCGAUAGAUUCAUUUAUAUUGUAGAAAAUAAUUCAAGUGAAAGUCAAAAAACUCGCAUUCCUUUAUAAGAGCAGCAGAUAGUAUAAUAUUAAUUCCAGAUCUUCUAUACCAAAUCUGUGCCUCAAAGAAUUCUUCGACUUUCCUUUCUCUCUAUUUUUAUUCAGAAGAAUUACAUCGUUGAUGCAAUGCAUAAACUCUUUGAGUUAGUGCAUUAGAUUUCUAGCGUUAAAAGUGACAAGAAUCUUAUUUUCUGAAUUUUGGAGAUCGAACUCGUGAAGCUCUCUGAAUUUUCUCGACUUUAAAACUAACGUCUCUCUCAAAUGUCUUGAUAGGUAAAUUAGACCACUGCUCUGCGGAAGCCAUCGGCAAAAAUCGCCGCAAAAUGAGAAUGGCUGAGCGAAAGAUUGGGCAACGCUUUCGGGUAUGCUUCGCCGGCUUCUCGUGCACCGACAACGCGGCCAUGUCAUGGUAUUGAUUCGAGAGAGGAGCGUACAAUGAGCGACAGCCCUGACGGUAUAUCCAUUAAUAUUUUCUGGGUCCCGAUAUCAGACAGACCCUCGAAAUUCCGAGUCAGCCCGGGAGCGAGGGGGAGAAAAAUGGCCGGGAGGGAAUAUCGAGAGCAGGCAGAUUCGCCACGACGUGAAAAUGAUUAUGAUGGAACUGAUAAAUCAAGGAGAUCUCCAUGCUAUCGCCACUUGUUCAAUUUGCAACGAAUUCGUAACGAAGAUCCAGGCGUUCUCGGAAUUAUCGUUUUAAAAACAACUGUAACAACAGGCUCAUUUCUUAAGUUAAUAAAGCAGACGGUUAACGUGGACGACAGCGUGGUAUACGCGGCUGUUUCUCCGCUUUGUGUCCACGCACACAUCCGCAGUUUCGACCCGCAAAUGGUGGCGUUCUCAGAGACCUCGACGAUAUUCCCUUUGUUCCUGACGAACACGAGACCACUAUAUUAGGGGUUCUCAACCUUGGAUCUCGCGCGAGCUGCACAGCUGAAGCCUGUUUUGGCUCGGCGAGAAGAUCAAUAAAUACCGUUCCUCAAUCUAAUAAAUUCAUGUCCUUGGACUGUCAUCUACUAAUUUAGUCAUCGAUCUGCAGUUUGAAUGCGAAUUUAAUGGUAUUUAACGAGGAAACUUUUUUAGAAGAUAAUCCUGGUAAUGAUCUGUCUGAAAAGAAAGCUUCAAAGUUACACGAGUCUCCUGCACAAAUCUGCUCGGAAAUUAACUUAAUCCGAUGAGUGCAAAUAUUUCAUCAACGUCUUUCGAUGAAAAUUCUCUGAAAAGAUAUGGGAACCUCUACCGCACCAUACCGUCGUGCACAACGUGACACAAGCCAGGCCUGGUUGGUCGGUGGCCCCGACUAGCACUCAGUGCCGUAAACAGCAAUAUUGCUUCGCCGCCUGUAUUGCUUAUCUAUCUGCUAUCCCGUCCGACUCAGUAAAAUUUGACAACGUAUAUCAUAACGCAAUAGACAUGAAAAAAUAGUUCAGCAAUAGGGAAGGGAUACAAUGUAUUUCAGGUAUUGCCGAUUGGUCUGAAGACAACACGACGAUUCUAGCACGACGAUAAAUACAAAAGGAUAAUAAGCAACAAAUACGAGAAAUAUAAUAAUAAUAGCAAUAUAAACAUUGCUUUACAUUGAUUGUCAAAACUAAACCUUUCAAAAAAUUCUUUCAGAAAUGAAUCUUGGGAUGAAUGAAUCUUUCUAGAAACGAGAAAGGACUUUCUCUCCGGGAUAAUUUAUUUCCCAAAACAAGAUAUAUUACUGAUUGGGCUUUAAACAACCCUCUCACCCCUGCUUACAGCCCUGCCACCGUGGUUGUGCAAUUGCGACACGACGCGGCCAUUGGCCGGCUGGCUUGGACAAGAAAACCCAGGACGGGGGUAAGAAAACGGGCAACAGCUGUUCGGUCGUGGCGAUGAGCCCAGCUCUGAACUCACGGGGCAACUAACCCCGGUUGCAAGAAAAACGCUGAGAAAAACGACAACUGUUUAAGUGAAAAAAAGACCAGCGAACAAAAUUGCCAUUCGGAUGUAGCCGCACGAAAGCUCCAUACGGCGGAAAUCGAAAUCGGUGCGAUUUCGAGGCUGUUAGAAUUAACGAUUUCCAUAACAGUUCAAUUGAAUAAAUUGGAUAAUUGCGUGGUAUCGAGCGAAAAUAAGUUGACCCGCCCCGCGGUACAUAAAUUUUCAACAAAUUUAACUUGAUAUUCGGCCUAAUUAUACUCAAUUCGAUUAAUAAUGCAGAAAUUCAACUAACAAUUGCAGUUGGCAAAAAAAUUCGAUUUAUAGUAUCAGAAUAAAUUUAAUUUCAAGUUCCACAUUACCAUCUCGACUGUACGUAGAACUUGUUUUGCAAAAGUUCGCGGAUUAACUCAUGUUUGCAUAAUAUUGUUCGCACAUACACAUUACGCGCACAUGCACAGAGUACAACGACUACUUAGUUGAUUUCCUAAUAAUCGAAACGACCACACUCGUAUUAGAGAAAUGAGCAACGACUAUAUAUCGCCAAGGUGGCGUUUACUAUACGAGACCAUGAGUCACCACGAGGUCUUUUUAGCGUGUACUGGGUGACUCGGAACUUUCAUUGUCUUCUUACCAGCAUAUUUUUCUCAACUAUCAAAAGUUCACUUUGCCUCAAUAAAAAUUUAAAAAAUGGAAGUUCUGUUAAAUAUUUUCAUCGUUUAUACGUUUGUUAUCGCAUAUAUCUCUAUAUCUACGUAUUUCAGAUAAAGACUGCUUUCAAUUUAAAGAUAAUUUAAUCUUGCCCUGCCACUUGGUUGCAACGAUAUCGUGUGAAGAGAAUCACAAUAAUUGAUAGUCUUCCGGUCAACCAUUGUAAAAGAAAUUUCCAUUGCAAGCUGUCUGAAGAAUUUGCAAUCGGGAGAAAGCGUGUGACUUGCGAGACACCGUAUAUAUGCAAAUAUAUACAUACGUAAGAAAAAUGGAUAAAAAAAUGAAUAAAAAACAUAAUAUAUCUAUCAUCUACGAAUCAUUACAUGAAAUUUGUGCGAUAUUCCCCGCCCACUUUAUGGCUAACGUUAACAAAUAUAAUUUCUACAUUGUUCGAAAAAUUUACAGAUAAGUUAUCAGAAUUAUCGGCGCUCUUUUUCGGGACUUGCUUACGUUUCGAACGAGAUGAGAUAUUUCACGCCAAGUUGGCAUAAGUGCGCUAGCGUGGAAGCGACGGGCG